CAGCAGCCGCGGGAAUACGGAGGGUGCAAGCGUUAAUCGGAAUUACUGGGCGUAAAGCGCACGCAGGCGGUCUGUCAAGUCAGAUGUGAAAUCCCCGGGCUUAACCUGGGAACUGCAUUUGAAACUGGCAGGCUAGAGUCUUGUAGAGGGGGGUAGAAUUCCAGGUGUAGCGGUGAAAUGCGUAGAGAUCUGGAGGAAUACCGGUGGCGAAGGCGGCCCCCUGGACAAAGACUGACGCUCAGGUGCGAAAGCGUGGGGAGCAAACAGGAUUAGAUACCCGAGUAGUCCCUGUCUCUUAUAC
rnacentral:rRNA from 1 species